UCUAGGUGGUCAAACCUGACCUGAUACUGAGUGGUGGCUUGAGGGGUGACCACCCAAGGGAGGCAGUCUCAGAGCUUAUGGAAGCUGAAACACCUGAAUGAAGGAUCUCAGGAGUCCUAGGAAUUUAGUUUUUUACAUGGAAAGGAAGUUUGGGAAUUUGGCAGUUCUGCUGGAUCAAGCAAAUGAAGGAAUCAUUUGCAGCUGGUGCUGGACCUGAAGCUGUGGGCUUGGCGGAAGAAGAUGAGUUUCUAUCUUUAGUUAAAAGUGUGUGAACAGCUACCCAUCUCUGCUGGACCUUCAAUGGAGCUCUCAAGAUGUUGUGUUUUUAGAGCUAGACCAUGGAUGGCACCUAGGGGUCCUUGUAGAAGAAGCUCUACUAAAGAGCUGGUUUCUUUGUGUGA